GGCCUCAUCGUCUAACGGUUAGGACAGCACCCUUUCACGGUGUAGAUCCGGGUUCGAUUCCCGGUGAGGUCA
rfam:Candidatus Lloydbacteria bacterium RIFCSPHIGHO2_01_FTLL_49_22 rifcsphigho2_01_scaffold_508, whole genome shotgun sequence.